rnacentral:tRNA from 1 species
UAGAUGAAAGCCAAAGAAGAGGCACCUAGCUGUUAAUUAGGGGAUUGUAAUGGAUGAUUACUCAUCUAG